rfam:Triticum aestivum genome assembly, contig: Triticum_aestivum_CS42_TGACv1_scaffold_227460_3B
UAGUUACUCCCUCCGUCCGGAAAUAUUCGUCGGAGGUAUGAAUGUAUCUAGAUGUAUUUUAGUUCUAGAUACAUUCAUUUUUUAUGCAUUUCUUCGACAAGUAUUUUAGGACGGAGGGAGUACUUC